GCAUGGCUCUCCAUACUCUUAGCCAUGUAUAGCAUAAAAAAAGGAGGAAGGUUUUAAUCCCCGCAGCUCGGGGUGCAGCAGUGUGGAGACCUGUUGUAAAGCAAGCAGCAAAGCUGCCUGCGAGGCUGUAUCAUGGCGGAGGCCGUACAGCCGGAGCUGAGAAAGUAUGGCA
rnacentral:ncRNA from 1 species